CCUAAGGUGUGCGAGAGAACUCUGGUUAAGGAACUCGGCAAAAUGACCCCGUAACUUCGGGAGAAGGGGUGCUUUCUUAACGGAAAGCCGCAGUGAAUAGGCCCAAGCGACUGUUUAGCAAAAACACAGCUCUCUGCGAAGCCGUAAGGCGAAGUAUAGGGGGUGACACCUGCCCGGUGCUGGAAGGUUAAGGAGAGGGGUUAGCGUAAGCGAAGCUCUGAACUGAAGCCCCAGUAAACGGCGGCCGUAACUAUAACGGUCCUAAGGUAGCGAAAUUCCUUGUCGGGUAAGUUCCGACCCGCACGAAAGGUGUAACGAUUUGGGCACUGUCUCAACCAGAGACUCGGUGAAAUUAUAGUACCUGUGAAGAUGCAGGUUACCCGCGACAGGACGGAAAGACCCCGUGGAGCUUUACUGUAGCCUGAUAUUGAAUUUUGGUACAGUUUGUACAGGAUAGGCGGGAGCCUUUGAAACCGGAGCGCUAGCUUCGGUGGAGGCGCUGGUGGGAUACCGCCCUGACUGUAUUGAAAUUCUAACCUACGGGUCUUAUCGACCCGGGAGACAGUGUCAGGUGGGCAGUUUGACUGGGGCGGUCGCCUCCUAAAGUGUAACGGAGGCGCCCAAAGGUUCCCUCAGAAUGGUUGGAAAUCAUUCGUAGAGUGCAAAGGCAUAAGGGAGCUUGACUGCGAGACCUACAAGUCGAGCAGGGACGAAAGUCGGGCUUAGUGAUCCGGUGGUUCCGCAUGGAAGGGCCAUCGCUCAACGGAUAAAAGCUACCCCGGGGAUAACAGGCUUAUCUCCCCCAAGAGUCCACAUCGACGGGGAGGUUUGGCACCUCGAUGUCGGCUCAUCGCAUCCUGGGGCUGUAGUCGGUCCCAAGGGUUGGGCUGUUCGCCCAUUAAAGCGGUACGCGAGCUGGGUUCAGAACGUCGUGAGACAGUUCGGUCCCUAUCCGUCGUGGGCGUAGGAAAUUUGAGAGGAGCUGUCCUUAGUACGAGAGGACCGGGAUGGACGCACCGCUGGUGUACCAGUUGUUCUGCCAAGGGCAUAGCUGGGUAGCUAUGUGCGGAAGGGAUAAGUGCUGAAAGCAUCUAAGCAUGAAGCCCCCCUCAAGAUGAGAUUUCCCAUAGCGUAAGCUAGUAAGAUCCCUGAAAGAUGAUCAGGUUGAUAGGUUCGAGGUGGAAGCAUGGUGACAUGUGGAGCUGACGAAUACUAAUAGAUCGAGGACUUAACCAUAUAA
rnacentral:rRNA from 1 species